AGCAGCCGCGGUAAUUCCAGCUCCAAUAGCGUAUAUUAAAGUUGUUGCAGUUAAAAAGCUCGUAGUUGAAUUUCGAGAUCAAAUUGUUGGUCGUGCCUCGGUACGUACUGGCAUUAUUGAUUUCUCCCUUCUGAAGAACCUUGAUGUCAUUAAUUUGGUGUCUUGGGGAAUCAGGACCGUUACUUUGAAAAAUUAGAGUGUUUAAAGCGGGCUCACGCUUGAAUACAUUAGCAUGGAAUAAUGAAAUAGGACGUUUGAUUCUAUUUUGUUGGUUUCUAGGAUCGACGUAAUGAUUAAUAGGGAUAGUUGGGGGCAUUAGUAUUCAAUUGUCAGAGGUGAAAUUCUUGGAUUUAUUGAAGACUAACUACUGCGAAAGCAUUUGCCAAGGAUGUUUUCAUUAAUCAAGAACGAAAGUUAGGGGAUCGAAGACGAUCAGAUACCGUCGUAGUC
rnacentral:rRNA from 1 species